rnacentral:rRNA from 1 species
UACAGAGGUGGCAAGCGUUGUUCGGAAUUACUGGGCGUAAAGGGCGCGUAGGCGGCGUGUUAAGUCAGCUGUGAAAUCUCCAAGCUUAACUUGGAACGGUCAGCUGAUACUGAUGUGCUAGAGUGCAGAAGGGGCAAUCGGAAUUCUUGGUGUAGCGGUGAAAUGCGUAGAUAUCAAGAGGAACACCUGAGGUGAAGACGGGUUGCUGGGCUGACACUGACGCUGAGGCGCGAAAGCUAGGGUAGCAAACGGG